AUUGAACGCUGGCGGCAUGCCUUACACAUGCAAAUCGAACGGUAACGGGCCUUCGGGUGCCGACGAGUGGCGAACGGGUGAGUAAUACAUCGGAACGUGCCCGAUCGUGGGGGAUAACGAGGCGAAAGCUUUGCUAAUACCGCAUACGAUCUACGGAUGAAAGCAGGGGACCGCAAGGCCUUGCGCGGACGGAGCGGCCGAUGGCGGAUUAGGUAGUUGGUGGGAUAAAAGCUUACCAAGCCGACGAUCUGUAGCUGGCCUGAGAGGAUGAACAGCCACACUGGGGCUGAGACACGGCCCAGACUCCUACGGGAGGCAGCAGUGGGGAAUUUUGGACAAUGGGCGCAAGCCUGAUCCAGCCAUGCCGCGUGCAGGAUGAAGGCCUUCGGGUUGUAAACUGAUUUUGUACGGAACGAAAAGCCUUCUUUUAAUACAGGAGGGUCAUGACGGUACCGUAAGAAUAAGCACCGGCUAACUACGUG
rnacentral:rRNA from 1 species